UUUAGAAAUAAACUAUACAAUUAUGAAUUAGGUCAUUAAAUUAUACUAUUAUUAAUAAUAACAGUAAAAUAUUUAAUUAUCGUAAGUAUGUACAUAAUACAUAUAUACUAGAACACAUUUAAAUUGCAUAGGCGGUGUCGCUGUCACGGUUCGUCUAAUAUACAAAUUGUUGUGCACAACCAUUGAAAUUGUCCUUAAACUAGGUCUGCUUCAAGUGGUUUUACACAGAUUUUGUUCACCCACCGUCUUGAGAUGAAGUCACUUGGGCCCAAAUAACGUUCAAUGACUUUUCUCUGAAACAAACAAAAAAGUUCUGUUAAAUAUCAAGUUUUCCGCAUUCAUCAAUCAUGUCGACUAAUAUCAUUAACAUAAAUAAAGGUUUUCACAAUACUAAUAAUUAUGACCAAUCUCUUUUAAUAAGUCGCACAUUUCAAACUAGGAAACAAAAUCGUAGCAUGGGGCGUUCUGGAUCCACAUCAUCGGCAUUAGCGUUAAUCGCAUUUUUAUUUUUCUUGAAUAUGUUGCAGAGAUCAUUGGAUGAUAAUAAACCGAAAAUGCCAAUUGUUAUGACACGUACAACCACACCACAAACAUUACCGCGCAAUGAAAAACCAGAAACUGAAAACUCACGUUCAGCGACUACUAAUGGUGGAGUUCUCAUUUCAAAAUUGGAUAACAAUAACAAUAAAUAUAGUGAAACUUGAAAAUAUGGUAAAGUAAACGAUUCCAUAAAAUGCUUACCAAAUAAAUAUUAACAGCAUAUUAAAUUUAGCUCAUUGUUCAGUGUCUUCAUUUUACUAAAAUUUUAUUACAUUUAAUUUUAAAUGCAACAUCUUACAUGCUUAUAAAAUUAUAUUAUAUAUUAAU